rnacentral:rRNA from 1 species
UACGGGGGGGGCAAGCGUUGUUCGGAAUUACUGGGCGUAAAGGGCUCGUAGGCGGCCAACUAAGUCGGACGUGAAAUCCCCAGGCUCAACCUGGGAACUGCGUCCGAUACUGGAUGGCUUGAAUUCGGGAGAAGGGAUGGCAGAAUUCCAGGUGUAGCGGUGAAAUGCGUAGAUAUCGUGGAGGAAUACCGGUGGCGAAGGCGGCAUCCUGGACCGACAUUGACGCUGAUGAGCGAAAGCUAGGGGAGCAAACGGG